ensembl:lncRNA
AGAUAGUGGAGUGGACUCUCAGUUUAAUUCAGGAUGAAGAUCCUCCUCGUCUUCACCCUCUACCUGAUCUCAGGCCCAGUGGGCUGCUUUGAUGUGAUUGGCUACGCAGGAGGCAGUGUCACAAUCUUAUGUGAAAACCAACAGUAUGGAAUGUCUGAUAAAUAUUUUUGUAAAAAAAAAACAGAGCAGUGUAUCCGAGUAAAAACACAGAACCCAUCGAUUCAUAAAGACAGAGUUUCUCUUCAUGAAUCUUCUGGAGUUCUGACAGUUUUCUACAGAGAUCUGAGUUUAGAAGAUUCUGGAUUAUAUGAGUGUGGAGAGACUGGAAGGUGGAGUCACUUUAUGAACCUGACAGUAAAAACAGAUCCGUGUUGUUUGGGACCAAAGACUGUGAUUGGUCAUCUGGGAGAGACCGUCACCAUCAACUGUUCCUAUCCUGAGGAGUUUCAGACUGACUACAAGUCUUUCGAUAAACUGGAUGAUAAGUAUUUACAUGAAUUGAUCAAGACCCCAGACUCUCAGAAAGGAAGAUUCUCCAUCUCUGAUUACAGAAGAUCUAGAGUUGUCAGUGUGAGAAUCAGAGAUGUGAGAGAAGAUGAUGGAAGAGUUUAUUACUGUGGAGUGGGAAAGGGAGGAGGAGAUUCAGUGAGUUACAUCUCUCACUUCUCAAAGAUUCAUCUACAGGUUUCUGACUCCAAAGAAACACUCAGACCAAAAACAACUAUCCAACCAACACCAGUGACCUACCGAAGUGCUUCAGCUGCACCAUCAGUGACCAUCUCUGCUGAAGAACCUUCCAGUAAGAGGAAGUGGAAGAGAUGUGGAUCUAGAAGGUUACUGGUUAAACUGGUCAUGAUCUGUUCUUUCUGUCUCUCAGCUCCAGGUUCCUCUGAUCCAGGUUUCCCCACCAUCAUCAUCAUCUCUGUGAGUAUCUGCGUAGUUCUGCUGCUGAUUGGAGGAUUAAUACUGAUCUUCUACAAGCGGAGAUACUCCAAGACUCGAGGCUCCUCCUCUUCAGCAAACCAGCCAAUGAUGAUGGGGAACACCAAUGAAAUUUCUCACUCUGCAUCUGACUAUGAGGAGAUAAGAUACACCAGAACAUCUCCACAAUCUGAAGCUACUCCACUUUACUCUACUGUACAGCAAACCCCCAUCCACACAGUCUA